rnacentral:rRNA from 1 species
UUUUACAGAUUUCUUCGGAAUGAAGUUUUAGUGACUGAGUGGCGGACGGGUGAGUAACGCGUGGGUAACCUGCCUCACACAGGGGGAUAACAGUUGGAAACGGCUGCUAAUACCGCAUAAGCGCACAGUACCGCAUGGUACGGUGUGAAAAACUCCGGUGGUAUAAGAUGGACCCGCGUCUGAUUAGCUUGUUGGUGAGGUAACGGCCCACCAAGGCGACGAUCAGUAGCCGGCCUGAGAGGGUGAACGGCCACAUUGGGACUGAGAUACGGCCCAGACUCC